rnacentral:lncRNA from 1 species
UUUUUUUUUUUUUUUGAGACAGAGUCUUGCUCUGUUGCCCAGGCUGGAGUAUAGUGGCACAAUCUUGGCUCACUGCAACCUCCACUUCCCAGGUUCAAGUGAUUCUCCUGCCUCAGGCUCCUGAGUAGCUGGGAUUACAGAUGUGUGCCACCUUGCCUGGCUAAUUUUUGUAUUUUUAGUAGAGAUGAGGUUUCACCAUGUUGGUCAGGCUGGUCUCAAACUCCUGACCUCGUGAUCUGCCUGCCUUGGCCUCCCAAAGUGCUGGGAUUACAGGUAUGAGCCACUGUGCUUGGCCUAUAAAAAUUUUUAGAAGUACAAAGGAAAGGAGUAAGAGAGAGAAAGGGAGGCAAAAUGGCUAUAAAACAUACAGAAAACAACAAAUUGCCAAUAGUAAGUCUUCCUUACCAGUAAUUUCUUUAAAUGCAAAUGGAUUAAACUCUCUAAUCAAAAGACAUAGAUUGAAUUGAUCAAAAAUUAAAAAAAAAAAAGAUCCAACUAUGUGCUGUCUACAGAAGACUCACUUUAGAUCUAAGGGCAUACAUUGGCUGAAAGUCAAAUGAUGGAAAAAGAUAUUCCAUGUAAAUGAUAAUCAAAGGAGAGCAGGGGUAGCCAAACUUACAGCAAACAAAAUAGAUGUUAACUCAAAAACUAUCCCAAGAGAUAAAGGACAGUAUAUAAUGAUAAAAGGGUCAAUUCACCAGGAAGAUUUAACAAAUACAUGACGCAAACACUGACAGAGUUGAAAGGAGAAAUAAACAGGAACACAGUAAUGGUCAGAGACCUCAAUACUCUCCUUUCAACAAUGGAUAGAAGAACCGGGCAGAAGAUCAGUAGGGAAACAAAGGACUUGAACAGCACUGUAGAUCAAUCGGAUCUAACAGACGCAUGUAGAACACUCUACUCAGCAAGAGCAGAAUAUAUAAUACGUCCUUCCCAAGGGCACGUGGAAUAUCCUCCAAGACAGACCAUAAGACAGGCCACAAAACAAGUCUCAACAAAUGUAAGAAGUUUGAAAUUAUAGACAAUAUAUGUUCUGAUCACAAAGGAAUGAAACUAGAAAUCAAUAGCAGAAGGAAAACUGGAAACUUCACAAAUUAGUGAAAAUUUAAAAACAAACUCUUAAGAAACCAAAGGAUCAAGGAAGAUAUCACAGGGAAAAAUAGAGACUAUCUUAAGACAAAUGAAAGCAAAAAUGCAACAUACCAAAACUUAUAGGAUGCAAUGAGAGCAGUAUCACGAGGGAAAUUUAUAGCGGUGAAAACUUACAUUUAAAAAGAAGAUGGAUCUCAAAUAAACAACCUAACGUUAUAUCUCAAGAAACUAGAAAAAGAAGAACAAGUUAAACACGAAUUAGCAGAAAAAAGGAAAUGGUGAUGAUUAGAACAGAGAUAAACACAAUAGAGAGUAGAAAACAAUAGAAAAAUCGACAAACUGAAGAGUUGGAUUCUUGAAAAGAAAAUUGACAGAAACUCUUAGCCAGAUUAAGAAAAAAGAGAGAAGCUUCAAUUAAAUCAGAAAUGAAAGAGGCCCCUUACAACUGAUGCCACAUAAAUAAAAAAUAUUAUAAGAGAAUACCAUGAAUGAUGGCUAUACACCAACGAAUUGGGUAAUCUGGAAGAAAUGGAUAAGUUCCUAGAAAUAUACAACCUACAAAGAUUGAAUCAUGAACAAAUAAUUAUCAGAAAAGACC